GACGAACGCUGGCGGCGUGCUUAACACAUGCAAGUCGAACGGUAAGGCCCUUCGGGGUACACGAGUGGCGAACGGGUGAGUAACACGUGGGUGAUCUGCCCUGCACUUCGGGAUAAGCCUGGGAAACUGGGUCUAAUACCGGAUAGGACCACUGCCUGCAUGGGUGGUGGUGGAAAGCUUUUGCGGUGUGGGAUGGGCCCGCGGCCUAUCAGCUUGUUGGUGGGGUGAUGGCCUACCAAGGCGACGACGGGUAGCCGGCCUGAGAGGGUGACCGGCCACACUGGGGCUGAGAAACGGCCCAGACUCCUAUGGGGGGCAGCAGUGGGGAAUAUUGCACAAUGGGCGCAAGCCUGAUGCAGCGACGCGGCGUGAGGGAUGACGGCCUUCGGGUUGUAAACCUCUUUCAGCACCGACGAAGCGCAAGUGACGGUAGGUGCUGAAGAAGGACCGGCCAACUACGUGCCAGCCGCCGCCGUAA
rnacentral:rRNA from 1 species